GAUGAACGCUGGCGGCGUGCGUAACACAUGCAAGUUGGACGACGAUGCCAUGAAGUGGUAACACGGAAUGGUAUACGGAGUAGCGGACGGGUGAGUAAAGCAUGAGGAGCUGUCCUGUUGAGGGGGAUAACGUUCGGAAACGGACCCUAAUACCCCAUAGGCCGAGAGGUUAAAGGCAGAGAUGCGCGACAGGAGGUACUCGUGUCCUAUCAGCUAGUUGGUGAGGUAACGGCUCACCAAGGCGACGACGGGUAGCCGGCCUGAGAGGGUGACCGGCCACACUGGAACUGAGACACGGUCCAGAUUCCUACGGGAGGCAGCAGUGGGGAAUAUUGGGCAAUGGGAGGAAUCCUGACCCAGCGACGCCGCGUGAACGAAGACGGCCUUCGGGUUGUAAAGUUCUUUUAUGUGGGAAGAAUUAAGUGACGGUACCACAUGAAUAAGCCCCGGCUAACUACGUGCCAGCAGCCGCGGUAAUACGUAGGGGGCGAGCGUUGUCCGGAAUUACUGGGCGUAAAGGGCACGCAGGCUGUGCUUCAAGUCAGCUGUAAAAGGAUGCGGCUUAACCGUGUUAUGCAGUUGAGACUGAGGUGCUGGAGUACCGGAGAGGCAAGUGGAAUUCCCAGUGUAGCGGUGAAAUGCGUAGAUAUUGGGAAGAACAUCGGUGGCGAAGGCGACUUGCUGGACGGUAACUGACGCUGAGGUGCGAAAGCCAGGGUAGCGAACGGGAUUAGAUACCCCGGUAGUCCUGGCCGUAAACGAUGAAUGCUAGGUGUGCGAGCAGAGAUGUUGGUGUGCCGCAGUUAACGCGAUAAGCAUUCCGCCUGGGGAGUACGGUCGCAAGAUUGAAACUCAAAGGAAUUGACGGGGGCCCGCACAAGCGGUGGAGCACGUGGUUUAAUUCGAUGCAAACCGAAGAACCUUACCUGGGUUUGACAUGUAUGUGGUAGGAGAUGGAAACAUUGACGACGCUGCUUUCGGGCAGUG
rnacentral:rRNA from 1 species